UGCUUGUCUCAAAGAUUAAGCCAUGCAUGUCUAUGCACAAGCCGAAUACGGUGAAGCCGCGAAUGGCUCAUUACAACAGCCACGUUUACUUGAUUCUGAUUAUCCUACUGGAUAACUGUGGUAAUUCUAGAGCUAAUACAUGCAACCAAGCUCCGACCGUAAGGGACGAGCGCAUUUAUUAGAACAAAACCAAUCGGGCUUCGGCCUGAGGUUUGGUGAAUCUGAAUAACUGAGCUGAUCGCAUGGUCUUUGUACCGGCGACGCAUCUUUCAAGUGUCUGCCUUAUCAACUUUCGAUGGUAGUUUAUGUGCCUACCAUGGUUGUAACGGGUAACGGAGAAUAAGGGUUCGACUCCGGAGAGGGAGCCUGAGAAACGGCUACCACAUCCRAGGAAGGCAGCAGGCA
rnacentral:rRNA from 1 species